CCAUCCCAAUUUUAGAUUAGUGUGCCAAAGUAAAAAUCCUUUUAAUGCUUUAAGCCCAUCAGAAACUACAAGAUUAUCACUGUAUCAUUACUUUUUAUUUGAUAUUAAAUAUAUUUUACCACUCUAUAUAUCAUUUGGACAUAGUCCGAUAAAAUUAAAAAUAAUUGCACAGUUUUUGAAUUGCUGAACCAAUAUGAAAUAAUAUAUGGGA
rnacentral:lncRNA from 1 species